rnacentral:tRNA from 1 species
GAUAAAGUGUCUGAAGAAUUUAGGUAGUAAAUUGUAAAUUUAUUUAUGGUUAUUUUAACCCUUUAUCA